rnacentral:rRNA from 1 species
CCCUUAGAUGUUCUGGGCCGCACGCGCGCUACACUGUUCGACGCAGCGAGUCUUAACCUUGACCGAAAGGUUUGGGUAAUCUUCAGCAAAGUCGAACGUGAUGGGGAUCGAUCAUUGCAAUUAUUGAUCGUGAACGAGGAAUUCCUAGUAAACGCAAGUCAUCAUCUUGCAUUGAUUACGUCCCUGCCCUUUGUACACACCGCCCGUCGCUCCUACCGAUUGAAUGUUCCGGUGAACACUUUGGAAUAGUUCUUAUGUGAGGGGAAACUCUUUGCUUGGAUACUGUGAAGUUGUGUAAACCUUAACAUUUAGAGGAAGGAGAAGUCGUAACA